rnacentral:rRNA from 1 species
GGUAGUCCACGCCCUAAACGAUGUCAACUAGCUGUCGGGGUCUUCGGACUUUGGUAGCGCAGCUAACGCGUGAAGUUGACCGCCUGGGGAGUACGGUCGCAAGAUUAAAACUCAAAGGAAUUGACGGGGACCCGCACAAGCGGUGGAUGAUGUGGAUUAAUUCGAUGCAACGCGAAAAACCUUACCUACCCUUGACAUGUCUGGAAUCCCGAAGAGAUUUGGGAGUGCUCGAAAGAGAACCGGAACACAGGUGCUGCAUGGCCGUCGUCAGCUCGUGUCGUGAGAUGUUGGGUUAAGUCCCGCAACGAGCGCAACCCUUGUCAUUAGUUGCUACGAAAGGGCACUCUAAUGAGACUGCCGGUGACAAACCGGAGGAAGGUGGGGAUGACGUCAGGUCCUCAUGGCCCUUAUGGGUAGGGCUUCACACGUCAUACAAUGGUCGGGACAGAGGGCAGCCAACCCGCGAGGGGGAGCCAAUCCCAGAAACCCGAUCGUAGUCCGGAUUGCAGUCUGCAACUCGACUGCAUGAAGUCGGAAUCGCUAGUAAUCGCGGAUCAGCAUGCCGCGGUGAAUACGUUCCCGGGUCUUGUACACACCGCCCGUCACACCAUGGGAGUGGGUUCUACCAGAAGUAGUUAGCCUAACCGCAAGGAGGGCGAUUACCACGGUAGGGUUCAUGACUGGGGUGAAGUCGUAACAAGGUAGCCGUAUCGGAAGGUGC